CACAAUGUGUGUAUGGGACAUGUAUGUUCCCAUUUCCACUGUAUUACUGUCAGUACUGUAUUAGCUUGUUUCUGACCACAAGUAACUCAUUCUGUCGGUCCACCAGUCAGCUUUUCUGAACACUCUACACUCCAGAAAGUCUGUAGCUGAAUUGGAAUCAUUUUCUUAUGAGAAUAAUAGUACUGGAUUCUGAAACUACAUAACCACCCCCCUUUGAAAGUUUGUUGUUCAUGCCAGGUAUAUUGCACUGGAUAUCCGCUAAUUUCUUAUUAAUUUAGUUUGACAUAGGUGUUCUGUCUACCCUGAACAAGAACCUGCAGGUUGCACAUUUCUGUGUGAUCUCGACUGUCCAAGUAAGACAACAGUUUCUUUUCUUUUAUAUGUAUAUCCUGACAUUACUGCUUUUUCUCUUUAGUCUAACUUUGACUUUGGUAAGCAGCUUAGCUUCCAAGCUUUUAGAGAGGGAACUUUGUUGUUAUAAGCGCAGUAGAAAGACCUGUGAGCCUGAACAAAGUUUUUUAAAAAUGUGUUGUCAUUUAUUAAUGGUUUUGUUCAAUAGCAGCUGUAUUCCAGCAAUCAGUUGAUACUGCAGUUCUUCCACGAGGUAGCAGGAGUUUGCAGGGAAAUUUCUGGGAUAAGUGUUAAUAUGACACAUUAUUGUAAGAUUCUUGUAAGACAGUAAAAUGUCACAAGGUGGCGCUGUUCACAGCAGGUGUGUUCCACAGUCUUGAACCAUCUAAAACUAAAUUAAUAUGAGCAGUUCAGAGAAAAAAAAAUCUAAAUGAUCCCAAGUAUUUAUUAAAUAAUGGCUCCAAAUUCAAAUUGAUAGUGAUUUGGAACUACUACUGAAAAUUCCUCCAAAGUGUGAAGGAAGGAAGAGCAAUCUCUUACCCAUUUUGUAGCUUUUGCCGAUAUGUCACUAUAACCAAGGAGGUUUGUAAGCGUCUUAUACAUACCAAUCUUAUGUUGUAGACAUCAACAUAUCUGUAAAAUACAUUUGAGAUUUGUUGGUGUUCAAAAGCAUUGCUAGUACGUAUACUUUCUGCUUAUCACUGUUUUUAAACAGCGUUUGCCAGUUAAACAUAGCGCUUGGUUGUAUAACACGUGGAAUAGCUUGUAUAUCACAAAUACUGGUGCUUGGCUGGUUUACAGGGUUAAAAUGUCUGCCUCCUGCAGGACCGGUAUAUUCACUGGGUGUUGUUUCAGAAAACAACCCUGGACAGCAGCUAUUUUCUUCAACUCUGGCUUACGCCCACAUUAGCCUGCAACGAAUGCCUUCAUUAAAGAUGUAUUCUGCUGACAAACAAAAACAAUAAACAGGCAUGUUCAGUUGGGCUAUCAGUUUAGUUACAAGCUGCACAAAUACUAGUACUAAAACACACCUUUGAUGUUUGCAACUCAGGAGGCUUACAGGAGGUACACUAGAAAAGUACAAGGACCCAUCACUUUCUCCUGGUUCAAUGAAGGAACCAAAGUUUCAUUUUCACUGUUGGCACCGCCGCAGGUAACACCCAAUGACACGUAUAUUUCAGGUCUCAAAAUUCUGCACACUUUCAGUAUCAAACACAAGUACAACAGCAGCAGCAAGAGCAGUGGCAGGAGCAGCAGGAGCAGCAGGAGCAGCAGCAACCAUGCAUCCAGAGCAUCCAGUCCUCUCUACGAAAAUACUUCUCAAUUUUUUGAAAACAUCAGGAGGAGCUACGGCCAUGAUUAUAUUAUUCAUCAUGUUCCAGUACAUUUUCAAACUGGAUUUUGUAUGUCCCUGUGACCUUCGCUAUAACAGACAUCUCUGUGGAGUUUAUGUGUUUCUACCGUUCGUCAUAGUGACUGUGACUGUGAUGCUGAUAGACCCUCAUUGUACGUGGGAAUGCAAACUAAAUGGAUGCAGGACACGCAUGCCACACUGCUCCUCAAUAGUCAAAAGUCUACUCCUAGGCUCGGUGUGGGUAAUUACUGCCUUCAUUGAUGGAGAUGUAGUAGUGUGUUUAUUCGCCACUAACAUGACGGCUGGGCAGCAGGAUGCAUGCGGAGAGGUGACCAGCCAGAGCCCUGAACAGCAAAGGACCAUCAACUACUAUAUGAACGUAUCUCGGAUAUUAGGCCUCGGUGUCAUAUUGAUUAUGUCACUCCUAUGCGCUUGCUGUAAUUUUUGGUGCAGGAAACCAUACCAUGACUCUCUGCGCAAAAAGUACAAA